rnacentral:rRNA from 1 species
GACGAACGCUGGCGGCGUGCCUAAUACAUGCAAGUCGAACGCUUCUUUCCUCCCGAGUGCUUGCCCUCAAUUGGAAAGAGGAGUGGCGGACGGGUGAGUAACACGUGGGUAACCUACCCACCAGAGGGGGAUAACACUUGGAAACAGGUGCUAAUACCGCAUAACAGUUUAUGCCGCAUGGCAUAAGAGUGAAAGGCGCUUUCGGGUGUCGCUGAUGGAUGGACCCGCGGUGCAUUAGCUAGUUGGUGAGGUAACGGCUCACCAAGGCCACGAUGCAUAGCCGACCUGAGAGGGUGAUCGGCCACACUGGGACUGAGACACGGCCCAGACUCCUACGGGAGGCAGCAGUAGGGAAUCUUCGGCAAUGGACGAAAGUCUGACCGAGCAACGCCGCGUGAGUGAAGAAGGUUUUCGGAUCGUAAAACUCUGUUGUUAGAGAAGAACAAGGACGUUAGUAACUGAACGUCCCCUGACGGUAUCUAACCAGAAAGCCACGGCUAACUACGUG